rnacentral:rRNA from 1 species
CUAAAUAAUCACACCUGCUGCCUGAACAAGCCCAAUCCUGUCUGAUCUCGGAAGCUAAGCAAGGUUGGGCCUGGUUAGUACUUGGAUGGGAGACUAUCUAGGAAGACCAGGUGCUGUAGG